rnacentral:rRNA from 1 species
GAUGAACGCUGGCGGCGUGCUUAACACAUGCAAGUCGAACGGAAAGGCCCAAGCUUGCUUGGGUACUCGAGUGGCGAACGGGUGAGUAACACGUGGGUGAUCUGCCCUGCACUUCGGGAUAAGCCUGGGAAACUGGGUCUAAUACCGGAUAGGACCACUUCUUGGAUGUUGUGGUGGAAAGUUUUUUCGGUGUGGGAUGAGCUCGCGGCCUAUCAGCUUGUUGGUGGGGUAAUGGCCUACCAAGGCGUCGACGGGUAGCCGGCCUGAGAGGGUGUACGGCCACAUUGGGGCUGAGAUACGGGCCAGACUCCUACGGGAGGCAGCAGUGGGGAAUAUUGCACAAUGGGCGCAAGCCUGAUGCAGCGACGCCGCGUGGGGGAUGACGGCCUUCGGGUUGUAAACUCCUUUCGCUAGGGACGAAGCGUUUUGUGACGGUACCUGGAGAAGAAGCACCGGCUAACUACGUG